UACGUAGGGGGCUAGCGUUGUCCGGAAUCAUUGGGCGUAAAGCGCGUGUAGGCGGCUUUGCAAGUCGGGUGUGAAAGCCCUCAGCUCAACUGAGGAAGUGCGCCCGAAACUGCAGAGCUUGAGUACCGGAGAGGAUGGUGGAAUUCCCCAAGUAGAGGUGAAAUUCGUAGAUAUGGGGAGGAACACCGGUGGCGAAGGCGACCAUCUGGACGGAUACUGACGCUGAGACGCGAAAGCGUGGGUAGCAAACAGG
rnacentral:rRNA from 1 species